UACGUAGGGUGCGAGCGUUAAUCGGAAUUACUGGGCGUAAAGCGUGCGCAGGCCGUUUCGUAAGACAGAUGUGAAAUCCCCGGGCUCAACCUGGGAACUGCAUUUGUGACUGCGAGACUAGAGUGUAGCAGAGGGGGGUAGAAUUCCACGUGUAGCAGUGAAAUGCGUAGAGAUGUGGAGGAAUACCAAUGGCGAAGGCAGCCCCCUGGGUUAAUACUGACGCUCAUGCACGAAAGCGUGGGGAGCAAACAGG
rnacentral:rRNA from 1 species